rnacentral:ribozyme from 1 species
UUCAACAAUAGGCGGGUGAGACACGACGUUCCUUGGUUUGGACGUCCACGUCAGGUAGGUCAGGUGACGACGUUACUGACGUACAGAACGGUAACAUGUCUUUCCGCAUAUCUGAGCUUGGGUAUACGAGGAAACCCAACCCCUUGGGAGGAUGGAAAGGAUGGCUAAGUUGAGAGUG